UCCAGGGAAUUCUCCGGAGGCGCCUCAGCCCCAGCGGCCUCCAGGAGAUCUUUGCCCAUUUAGGCCCCUGGAUCCGCUCCCCGCGGGAGCCGGAGCGGGAGCGCGGCCUCGGCAUCAGCAAAUCCCUGCUGGAAUUCUUCCUGGAAAACCUCGACGUGCGCGCGGUGACUCCGUUCCCGGCUCUCCCG